CCUACGGGAUGCUGCAGUGGGGAAUAUUGCACAAUGGGGGAAACCCUGAUGCAGCAACGCCGCGUGAGUGAUGACGGCCUUCGGGUUGUAAAGCUCUGUCUUCAGGGACGAUAAUGACGGUACCUGAGGAGGAAGCCACGGCUAACUACGUGCCAGCAGCCGCGGUCAUACGUAGGUGGCGAGCGUUUUCCGGAUUUACUGGGCGGAAAGGGAGAGUAGGCGGACUUUUAAGUGAGAUGUGAAAUACUCUGGCUCAACUUGAGUGCUGCAUUUCAAACUGGAAUUCUAGAGUGUAGGAGAGGAGAAUGGAAUUCCUAGGGUAGCGGUGAAAUGCGUAGAGAUUAGGAAGAACACCAGUGGCGAAGGCGAUUCUCUGGACGGUAACUGACGCUGAGGCUCGAAAGCGUGGGGAGCAAACAGGAUUAGAUACCCCAGUAGUC
rnacentral:rRNA from 1 species